rnacentral:rRNA from 1 species
GAGUUUGAUCUUGGCUCAGAUUGAACGCUGGCGGAAUGCUUUACACAUGCAAGUCGAGCGGCAGCGCGGGGCAACCUGGCGGCGAGCGGCGAACGGGUGAGUAAUGCAUCGGAACAUGUCCAAGUCGUGGGGGAUAGCCCGGCGAAAGCCGGAUUAAUACCGCAUGUGCCCGAGAGGGGAAAGUGGGGGACCGCAAGGCCUCACGCGAUUGGGUUGGCCGAUGUCCGAUUAGCUAGUUGGUGGGGUAAAGGCCUACCAAGGCGAUGAUCGGUAGCUGGUCUGAGAGGAUGAUCCGCCACACUGGGACUGAGACACGGCCCAGACUCCUACGGGAGGCAGCAGUGGGGAAUUUUGGACAAUGGGGGCAACCCUGAUCCAGCCAUUCCGCGUGAGUGAAGAAGGCC